rnacentral:rRNA from 1 species
CCUACGGGAGGCAGCAGUGGGGAAUAUUGGGCAAUGGGCGAAAGCCUGACCCAGCAACGCCGCGUGAAGGAAGAAGGCUUUCGGGUUGUAAACUUCUUUUGACAGGGAAGAGCAGAAGACGGUACCUGUCGAAUAAGACACGGCUAACUACGUGCCAGCAGCCGCGGUAAUACGUAGGUGGCAAGCGUGGUCCGGAUUUACUGGGGGUAAAGGGCGUGUAGCCGGGCUGACAAGUCAGAUGUGAAAUCCGGGGGCUCAACCCCCGAACUGCAUUUGAAACUGUUGGUCUUGAGUAUCGGAGAGGCAGGCGGAAUUCCUAGUGUAGCGGUGAAAUGCGUAGAUAUUAGGAGGAACACCAGUGGCGAAGGCGGCCUGCUGGACGACAACUGACGGUGAGGCGCGAAAGCGUGGGGAGCAAACAGGAUUAGAUACCCGUGUAGUC